UACGUAGGGGGCUAGCGUUGUCCGGAUUUAUUGGGCGUAAAGAGCGUGUAGGCGGCCAGGUAGGUCUGCUGUGAAAACUCGAGGCUCAACCUCGAGACGUCGGCGGAAACCAUCUGGCUAGAGUCCGGAAGAGGAGAGUGGAAUUCCUGGUGUAGCGGUGAAAUGCGCAGAUAUCAGGAAGAACACCCGUGGCGAAGGCGGCUCGCUGGGACGGUACUGACGCUGAGACGCGAAAGCGUGGGGAGCGAACAGG
rnacentral:rRNA from 1 species